rnacentral:tRNA from 1 species
GCUGUGGCUCACUGGAAGAGCAUCUGCUCAGCAUGCAGGAGGCCCCAGGUUCAAUCCCAAGCAUAUGCA